GCCUAUCACUUUAGAAAUCUGUGUUUAUAGAUAGCAAAGAAAAGAUUUGAGGGUAGCAAAAUUGAGAAAGAAACAGGCACGUGGAGGGCUCAGGAUGAUGAACAUCUCUUUUUGACAGAUGAAGAGCUUCUCCCUCCCAGGAGCCAACGCUGUCCCUCUCCCAGUGGUUGUGCCAUGGAGACAACUCCUGGAGACGUGUCCUCUACCAAAUUGAUGCCACGCGACCAGCUCUUGGCGGGGCUGGACUGGAUGCAGAUCUUCUGAGUCUCAGCCGCACACUUUCUCCAACACCUCUGAACUUUGAGAUGAAUGAAAAAUACUGUAUGUACAUGAAACAGAAGCUCUAUUCUAGGUUAGCCCAUGGAUCCAAAUGGUUUGAUCGUGUGUGCACAUGCACGUGGGUUUUGGAAACCUUUAGCAGUCAGUGGCCUUUGCUCCUUUGGCUUCUGGAUGAGCCGCUUUGCUUUUAAAAUUCAGAUUGUGACUUUUCAGGAAAUACACAGAAAUGACCUCAACCAGGAAGUUCCUAAUUUGGGGACCUAUUGUUGAAAUGGUUCUUCGGUCUACAACUGUAGUGGGGAGAAAAAAAAAUCCAAAAUCCAGAUUCCUCCCUCUAGAAGGUGGAUUCCUAGCCUGAAGCCAACAGAUGGACUAAAGAGGGUGAGACCCGGAUGGAGAAGAAUCGCAUUUAAAAUCAAGUGGAAGGACUGCGCCAUUAGUGAGCUGGGGAGCAAACCAAGGGUUGCCCUGGAAAUACGUUCAUUUUAAAAUUGCAAGCAAGAAUCAUUGACCUGAGCGUAGCAUCUGUUGAGACCCAGCCAUAGAGCUAACCAGGGUGCCUGAAGAUUUCCUCCUCCAAUGCUCUUGGCUUGAUUCUUUAAGCUCACCUCAGCAUUCCUCAGGGCGGCAGAACUUCGAGAGGCACCACUCAAAAUUGUACUCAAUAUAAAUGUCAGGAGGCAACCGUUCCAGGAAUUCCUUCACACACAAUAAAUGUGGAUAAUGCCCUCUGAAGUUGUCCAACAGUGAUACUGCCCACCUUGCGAAGAUGAUACACUGAGUUCUAAAGUUUAUUCUAAACGGAAUAAAACAAGAGCUAUAUGGGCCACUCUACCUUUUCAAAGAUCACAUUAAUUCUUCAUCCCAGUCACAGCACAGCUGAACCAUUGAAACAAUGUUGUCUUUUCAUAUCACAAAUCAUCCAAGCCCUUUAUAAGCAUAUGAAUUAUUUAAAUUGAUGAUCUCUGUUCAGUACAACCGCUGAACAUCAGGUCAAGAGGCAUAGAGAUGGAGUUGCCAUUUAUCUGCACAUGCGCAUACCCGGUUUGGAGCUUUUAUUUUCCCUCAGUUGGUCACAGAUCAGCAAGAGUUCUGCAGCUUCUGCUUGACAUCUGCAGGAAGAGAGCACUGCAUUGCUACUACUCUUAAUGGCAUCAUGAAUGAUGUUUUCAGACAAACGUGUAUUUCUGAGACUCUGAGUCAAAGCAAUAAAGAAAAUGGGUUCUGAAGUUGGAUAAUAUUUUUGGGAACCUUAAACAACUUCUUUUUUUUUUAACCAACUUCUUUUACAUACAUUUUCCUUUGCUAUAUGAACGAGGAUGAUAUAUGGCUAAAAAAUUAUGUCUACGUAAGUUUGGAGAUCUUUAAAUAAGUAUAAAAUACAAAUUCCAAGCAAUACCAUUGAGUUAUAAGAUGGUCAGAUUUUUUUUUUCUUUCUUAGGAAUGAAUACUACAAUCACAUACCUCACAACUGAUGGUAUCUUAGAUUCUAUAAAAUACUAAAUUUUAAGGAAAGAUUUCAUGAGGAGAAUGAGGGCAUAUUAGGAAUCAAGGAUGAUUCCAAAGGGUUUUGUAUGAGCAACUGGUAAAAUAGAGUUCCCACUGACAGAGAAGGAGAGAAGUGGCAGGAGAUGGGGAUGUGGGGGUUGGGCAGGAGCCCUCUUGGGGGCAUGUUAGUCUAGAAAUGGUUAUUAAGCAUCAGUUUUCUGAGGCUGUUGUGUAAAGUGCCAGCAAGUGGAUGGCUUAAAACAAAAUAAAUGUAUUGUUUCAAAGAUCUGGAGGUUGGAAUUCUGAAACCAAGGUGUUGGCCUACUUUCUUGUGGUUCCUCUAGGAGGGAAUCCUUCAUUGCCUCUUCUAGCUUCUGGUGUUGGCCAACAAUUCUUGGCAUUCCUUGGCUUGUAGAUGCAUCAUUCCAAUCACAUGGCUAUUUUCCCCCAUCUGUCUUCACAUCAUCCUCUCUGUGUGUGUUUGUCUCUCUGUGUGUCCAAAUGUCCUCUUUUCAUGGGGAUAUCAGUUACAUUGGAUUAGAGCCCACCCUAAUGACCUCAUUUUAAGUUGGUACUUCCAAAUAAGGUCACAUCCCAAGGUACAGGGAAGAGGGGGGUUGGGACAUCAACACUUCUUUUUGGGAGGGUGAGUCAACCCAUGAUAGCAUUCAAGUAAAGUGGUCUAAUAGACAGAUGUCAAUGAGAUAGUCUAAAGUCAGGAGACAAAUUUGGUCUAGAAACCAAAAUGUGGGAAUCAUCAGCAUGUAUAAAUGGUAUCAACGAGACUGAGUGAGAUCACCAGAAAGCGAGUGUAAACAAAUCUGAAAUCUGAAGUCAUUCAGACAUUUGGAAUUGUGGAAAAAGUUUCAACAUUCCUCACGUAGGUAGAACUUAUACUAUCCAUAUAAUGAGCUUCUUAACCUUAGAAAAGCCUUGGACUUAUUAUUAUUUUGAAACAUUUAUUACAGAAGAAAAUAGUGCUGGGUAAACGUCCUAAUUCAGUUUGUGUCAAUGUGAAAAACACAUUCAGAUAACUGGGGCUGAAUUUAAGUAGUAUGUCCCAUUAAAGCUCAUUAAAGAAUAAAGCCUAAUAGCCAAGGGCUCUGAAUAAUACAAAAGAGUCUAACCUUAUGUGGUUAGGCUUUCAGUUCUACUUUAAGAAUAUCUUUUGAACAAUAUAGUCACACAAGUAAAUUUUCCAAAAGUAAAACUUCCUAGCGGUGAUAGAGCUUAGGGUUGAAUGAAGUUUUCGAGAUCAUCCUGCUGAUAGAUGAAGGAAGGGAGUCCUGGAUCUGCCAAGGGACUAACCCAACUUGAAAUAGUACCCUUGAAAGGGCAUGAACCUUUCAUAGUUUAAGUUCAUCAUAUUUCCUACCACACUUGCUAGACACACACACACACACACACACACAUCAAGGAAAUUUGUGACAAAAACUGUAACUUUCAGACACAAUCCAAAGGCUUAUGCUAACAACAGAGGAAAAAUGCAUAAAGGUUGAGACCGCAUAUGAAGAUGCCAUUGAUCUUUGAGUUUCACUGGAUAGUCGGUUAGCCUGGGAAAUCCUGUUUAAAUCUUGUCAGAAACAAAAAUAAGACAAAUAAAGCUGCACUCUCCACUUAAGGCAGUCUUGUGUAAACGCAAAGAAGAAAUGGAAAAGGAUGCUGUAAGACUAAUGCUUGAAUCAUGUUCAGAUAGUCUUCAUAAUUAAUAAAUCAGACAUUAAGAUUAAUUGAGCAUAUAAAUGUGACCACUUUUCCCCCAAAGCAUACGAUCAUCCCUCUUCUCAUGAAUAACCCUUAAAUUAUAAAAAUUUCUUCUACUUUGCAUUUGGUAUAGGUUUAAAUGGAUAGCACCCCUCACCAUGAAGGUUACCAGAACCCCCUCUCUUUCUCUGUCAGUGUUCCUCAGUGUUAGAAAGCUACUCACUAAAUUAGAUGGUAAAAAAAGAGGUUGUAACUUUGGAAUUAGACCUCGGUUCAUACUGUAGCUCUAUUGCUGUUUGGCUGUGGGGUAUCUCCUGCUUUCUUAAUUUUUCUGAGGCUGAUACGUCUCUUCUAGAGUUUGGAUGAUAUUGCUCACUUGAAAAGAUGUCUGUGUAAAAUAAACGACUUAGUGAAGAUACAUGAAAUAUUAACACAGUACUUGGUACUUAGUGAAUAUCAAUAAAUGGCUUCCGAAUAAAAUAAUGCUCAUUUUAGCCAUUUUUCUUCCCUAGGCUUGUUUACUUUGUAGUAUA